rnacentral:rRNA from 1 species
AAAGGGUGUGUAGGCGGGCUUUUAAGUCAGUGGUGAAAGACGGUCGCUCAACGAUUGCAGUGCCAUUGAUACUGGUAGACUUGAGUGAGAUUGAGGUAGCUGGAAUGGAUAGUGUAGCGGUGAAAUGCAUAGAUAUUAUCCAGAACACCAAUUGCGUAGGCAAGUUACUAAGUCUCAACUGACGCUGAGGCACGAAAGUGUGGGUAUCAAACAGGAUUAGAUACCCUGGU